AGCGCAGUCUGUAGUGUAAAAUCGCUUUGAGUGGUUGCAAAGCGACUAGAAAAACGAUAUAUAAGUGCAGGUCCAUUUACCAUUUACCAUAAGUGAAGUAGUUACAAUGGUCACAUGACUACUAAGUUUCAUGAAAGACGUAAGUUACGUAAACAACAUAACUUAAGUUAAAAAUAAUUUACGUUUGUUUUCAGAUGGGAUGCUAACACGACUCUUCUGGGUGACGGUUCGCCAUUUGUUCGACACAUCCAUCACCCAAACCUCCAACUAACCAAAUAUCAACCCUGAUAUAUAACGGAGGUCAAAGGUCAGGUUCUGUAACAAAGAAGAAGCCCUGGAGGUGUAAUGUAUCUAGCAAGGUGGAAGAAUACUGAUGUAUUGCUCCCAGCUCCUCGCCGCUGCUGAUCUGCCUUCAGUCAGGUGGCAACAAAAGCCCAUUUAUUUGGGCCUGCAUUUCCACUGGCUAAGUGUUGGAGUGUGGUGUUAGCAGAGUGCAUUAUAAAUACAGCCAAGCUUGUCGCUGUCCCCCCUAAACCCCCCCGGAAGGCCCAGACUCCUGGGGAGCUCCAAACACCAGGUAAUUAUCCACCACCGUACCGCCCGCUGCUUCACUACCUGUGUGUCCAGCAUCACUAGAGAGAAGGAUAGAUGGAUGGGGUGGGGGAGAGAGACGAGGAGGGAUGGAUGGAAAUGGAGAGGGAUCAAGGUAGAAGGACAGAGAAUGUGUGUGAGUGUAUGUG